rnacentral:rRNA from 1 species
UGGGGAAUAUUGCACAAUGGGGGAAACCCUGAUGCAGCGACGCCGCGUGAGUGAAGAAGUAAUUCGUUAUGUAAAGCUCUAUCAGCAGGGAAGAAAAUGACGGUACCUGACUAAGAAGCCCCGGCUAACUACGUGCCAGCAGCCGCGGUAAUACGUAGGGGGCAAGCGUUAUCCGGAUUUACUGGGUGUAAAGGGAGCGUAGGCGGCAAGGCAAGCCAGAAGUGAAAGCCCGAGGCUCAACCACGGGACUGCUUUUGGAACUGUCUAGCUAGAUUGCAGGAGAGGUAAGUGGAAUUCCUAGUG